AUGAAGAGGAAGAGAGCUCAAUCAAUCCAUACUAAUUUCAAGCCAAUUGGUUCAAUCUCCCAGCCAUGUGAACAUGGUGAUGGUGCUAAUACAAAUGAUGUGCAGCCUAGCGAAGAGAACAACCCUAGUCAUGCUGAAGGUGAUGCUCAAGAUGUUCCAGUGCCAGAAGUUACAGAAGAAGCUACACUCAUAACCACAAAAUAUGAUCGAGACCCAGGGAGGCGCCCUCAAAUUUGGCAACUCCCUCCAGAAAAGCAAGAUGAUGCUAGGCGUUUUUACAUAUGUGAGGGGGCCUAUCAGCCCGAAUUGGAUAAUUAUGAAUAUAAUGAUAGAAGUGUUGUUCGUCGGCGAUUCCAAAAAGAUUGGUACACAAAUUUUUGGUGGUUGGAAUAUUCGACUGAUACAAAAUGUGCCUAUUGCUUGCCUUGUUUUCUCUUUUCGAAGAAGCCAGUUGGGAAGUGUGGUUCGGACACAUUCACUGUCAAAGGAUUUGAUAAGUGGAAGAAGGUUAACAAUGGAAAAGAAUGUGCUUUUCUCAAACAUAUGGGCACUACUCCCAGCUCUGCUCAUAACUUUGCAGUUCGGUGUUACGAAAAUCUGAAAAAUAAUCCAAUUCAUAUUGACAAGGUGAUGAAAAAGCAAACUAAGCAAAUGGUUCUUGAUGCAAGACUGAGGCUUAAGACUUCUAUUGAUGCCAUGAGGUAA
rnacentral:rRNA from 1 species